rnacentral:rRNA from 1 species
AGUGAACGCUGGCGGUAGGCCUAACACAUGCAAGUCGAACGGAAGCACAGUAAGCGCUUGCCCUUACGGGUGGCGAGUGACGGACGGGUGAGACAUACAUAGGCAUCCUCUAUUUCGUGGGGGACAACGUAGGGCAAGUUACGAUAAUACCGAAUACGAUCUACGGCAGAAAGCAGGGGUUAUUGAGAGUUUGCGCGAUUGAAUGAGCCGAUGUCGGAUUAGCUAGUUGGCGGGGUAAAGGACCACCAAGGCGACGAUACGUAGCUGGUCUGAGAGGAUGAUCAGCCACACUGGAACUGAGACACGGUCCAGACUCCUACGGGAGGCAGCAGUGGGGAAUAUUCGACAAUGGGCGCAAGCCUGACCCAGCCAUACCGCGUGAGUGAAGAAGGCCUUCGGGUUGUAAAGCCCUUUUAUUGGGGAAGAAAAGCUGCAUGUUAAUACCCGGCUGUUCUGACGGUACCUAAAGAAUAAGCACCGGCUAACUUCGUG